GGCCAGACUCCUACGGGAGGCAGCAGUGGGGAAUAUUGCACAAUGGGGGAAACCCUGAUGCAGCGACGCCGCGUGAGUGAAGAAGUAUUUCGGUAUGUAAAGCUCUAUCAGCAGGGAAGAAAAUGACGGUACCUGACUAAGAAGCCCCGGCUAACUACGUGCCAGCAGCCGCGGUAAUACGUAGGGGGCAAGCGUUAUCCGGAUUUACUGGGUGUAAAGGGAGCGUAGACGGCAUGGCAAGUCAGAUGUGAAAGCCCGGGGCUCAACCCCGGGACUGCAUUUGAAACUGUCAGGCUGGAGUGCAGGAGAGGUAAGUGGAAUUCCUAGUGUAGCGGUGAAAUGCGUAGAUAUUAGGAGGAACACCAGUGGCGAAGGCGGCUUACUGGACUGUAACUGACGUUGAGGCUCGAAAGCGUGGGGAGCAAACAGGAUUAGAUACCCGCGUG
rnacentral:rRNA from 1 species